AUUGAACGCUGGCGGCAUGCCUUACACAUGCAAGUCGAACGGUAACAGGUCUUCGGACGCUGACGAGUGGCGAACGGGUGAGUAAUACAUCGGAACGUGCCCGAGAGUGGGGGAUAACGAGGCGAAAGCUUUGCUAAUACCGCAUACGAUCUCAGGAUGAAAGCAGGGGACCGCAAGGCCUUGCGCUCACGGAGCGGCCGAUGGCAGAUUAGGUAGUUGGUGGGAUAAAAGCUUACCAAGCCGACGAUCUGUAGCUGGUCUGAGAGGACGACCAGCCACACUGGGACUGAGACACGGCCCAGACUCCUACGGGAGGCAGCAGUGGGGAAUUUUGGACAAUGGGCGAAAGCCUGAUCCAGCAAUGCCGCGUGCAGGAUGAAGGCCUUCGGGUUGUAAACUGCUUUUGUACGGAACGAAAAAGCUUCUCCUAAUACGAGAGGCCCAUGACGGUACCGUAAGAAUAAGCACCGGCUAACUACGUGCCAGCAGCCGCAGUAACAC
rnacentral:rRNA from 1 species